rnacentral:rRNA from 1 species
UACGUAGGGUGCAAGCGUUGUCCGGAAUUAUUGGGCGUAAAGAGCUCGUAGGCGGUUUGUCGCGUCUGCUGUGAAAACCCGAGGCUCAACCUCGGGCCUGCAGUGGGUACGGGGCAGACUAGAGUGCGGUAGGGGGAGAUUGGAAUUCCUGGUGUAGCGGUGGAAUGCGCAGAUAUCAGGAGGAACACCAAUGGCGAAGGCAGAUCUCUGGGCCGUAACUGACGCUGAGGAGCGAAAGCAUGGGGGAGCGAACAGG